rnacentral:rRNA from 1 species
CCUACGGGCGGCAGCAGUGGGGGAUAUUGCACAAUGGGGGAAACCCUGAUGCAGCGACGCCGCGUGUGGGAAGACGGUCCUCUGGAUUGUAAACCACUGUCUUCAGGGACGAAGAUGACGGUACUUGCGGAGGAAGCCCCGCCUAACUACGUGCCAGCACCCUCGGAAAUACGUAGGGAGCGACGGUUGUCCGGAAUUACUGGGUGAAAGGGGAGGGUAGGCGGGACUGCAAUUUGAGUGUCAACUCUACGGGCUCAACCGGUAACCGCACUCUAAACUGCAGUUCUUGAGUGAAGUAGAGGCAGGCGGAAUUCCUGGUGUAGCGGUGAAAUGCGUAGAUAUUAAGAGGAACACCAGUUGCGAAGGCGACCUGCUAGACUUUUACUGACGCUGAGGCUCGAAAGUGUGGGGAGCAAACAGGAUUAGAUACCCCGGUAGUC